GGAUGCGAUAAUAGCAGCACUAAAGCACCGGAUCCCAUCAGAACUCCGAAGUUAAGCGUGCUUGGGCGAGAGUAGUACUAGGAUGCGCCUCGUGUUGCAUUCC
rfam:Triticum aestivum genome assembly, contig: Triticum_aestivum_CS42_TGACv1_scaffold_428706_5BS